CCCGGGGCCGUAGCAGCGCCUGCACGGAGCGCUCUGCAACGCGCGGUGCCAUUCCCGGAGACCACGAGCCUCCCGUGUGAGCCCACGCAGAUAGGACAGAGCCGAAAGUGUCUCUUUUCCGGCGGACCGCUGCUGAAAAUUGCCUUUUUAUUUUUCUCUAAUUCUUUAAAAAAAAAAACAAAAAAAAAAAACAUCGUGGCUAUGAGACGCGGUUGCAACUCGCAUCCCCUGCACGGCUCCGGGCAGCCCCGCUCUGCAGCUGGAGCACCGAGCUCAGCAAAUGCACGCCUCUUCCGCAGCCCCCCGGCCGCACCGCCGCGGCCAAACCCUGCCGAGCUGAGGAGGUUUCGAGGGAAUAUCAGCUCCAGGAAUCAGUGCUUGUGUCAAAAUCGCGGCUCCCGUUUAAACGAAAACCGAGCGCUGAGCCCUCGGUUGAUUUGAGGCUAAAGAUCGAUUUGGGCACAAAAACGACUUCCCGUUCAGCAUUAUUUUUUCAAACCGUAUGGUUCUGCUGGAGGAGCACUGAUCCGGGCAGGAAGCUGCUCCCAGGCCUGCCAGCCAAAGGCACGAUUGGGACACCCAACGUGUAUCACAGCUUCGGCUGCCCCGUGCUUUCAUACACCCAGGAGGGGCUGCUUCUCCCCCACCUGUCAGCAAAUACCGCACAGACAUCCCAAAUUCUGGGCCCCAUCGUUUUUGUAAAGCCCUCCCGAGUGCAGCGACUGCGUAUUGCGGAGUACAAAGAAUUAAAACUGAGCGAGAGUUGUGGAAAUAAAGGAACAAAGUGCAUUUUGCGGUGCAUUAUUCUAGCUUGUUUAUCCACAAAAGUCAGUCGUUAUGGGAUGAGUUCUGUUGAUUCCUGUAACAACGAAUGCGUUUUGUCACCGAAUGCUCAGCACUGCUCCGCAGACGCAGCCCGCUUCCCUUGCAGUCCCAUUCCAACCACCUCGAGGCACACCUGUUCCAAAAGCUGCACCACUCCUUCAUUGGUCUGAACUGCUUUCCUCCUGUGACGUGGGACCUGUGCUAUAGAACCUGUCCCCUCAGGGACCAACAGUGCAGAGCUGCCUCCUGCGGGGAGGGGGAGGACGUGCUGUGUGUGCUCCUGCCCUGGGUUGUAUCCAGGCAGAUCCCUGCUGAUGCUCUCCUUGGGCAGCCUCUACCUGCAUCCUCAGCUCACCU
ensembl:lncRNA